GAUGAACGCUGGCGGCGUGCCUAAUACAUGCAAGUCGAGCGAACAGACGAGGAGCUUGCUCCUCUGACGUUAGCGGCGGACGGGUGAGUAACACGUGGAUAACCUACCUAUAAGACUGGGAUAACUUCGGGAAACCGGAGCUAAUACCGGAUAAUAUAUUGAACCGCAUGGUUCAAUAGUGAAAGACGGUUUUGCUGUCACUUAUAGAUUGAUCCGCGCCGCAUUAGCUAGUUGGUAAGGUAACGGCUUACCAAGGCGACGAUGCGUAGCCGACCUGAGAGGGUGAUCGGCCACACUGGAACUGAGACACGGUCCAGACUCCUACGGGAGGCAGCAGUAGGGAAUCUUCCGCAAUGGGCGAAAGCUUGACGGAGCAACGCCGCGUGAGUGAUGAAGGUCUUCGGAUCGUAAAACUCUGUUAUUAGGGAAGAACAAAUGUGUAAGUAACUAUGCACGUCUUGACGGUACCUAAUCAGAAAGCCACGGCUAACUACGUG
rnacentral:rRNA from 1 species